GUACGCAUGCAUAGCAAGACAAAAAAAGUUCAAAAAAGCCAAUAGAUGUCGCUAGAACCACAAAAAAGAAUUCUACCCAACUCCACGGCGUUGGUGAAUCUCAUGAAACUUGCCAAAGUCUAUCAUUGUCAUUGAGGCUAGAUGUACUUUUGCUGCUGCUGUGUUAUAUCUCCAAGAAAAGUAUUAUAAGCUAACAUAUUUUUAAGGAAAUAGUGUAAACUAUUAUUAAAGCGAGUACUUAGAUGUAAGUAUUGAAGCUUAAAUAACAGGAAAACGAUGCAUUUUAUAAAAUAUACUUACUAAACACUUGUCAAAGUACUUAGGAAUGCCUAUCAAAUGAGCUCCAGAAAAAGUUGAUAGCAUCAAAAUUAAGCAAGUUAUGAUGAAAAUAAGAGAACCAUUUUGAA